CCCCCCCCCCCUUUGUGUGUCCCCACCUUUGGGUGUCACCGCGGCUGCGUCACUGCCCGUGGUGGCACCGCCCGGUUGUGGUGGCAACGGAGGGACGGCAACAGCGGCACAGCCCUACAAUCCUACAACGGCCCCACAAUGGCCCUAUAAUGGCCCUACAAUCCUACAACGGCCCCAUAAUGGCCCUAUAAUGGCCCUACAAUCCUACAACGGCCCCACGAUGGCCCUAUAAUGGCCCUACAGUGGCCUCAGGACGGCCCUAUAAUGGCCCUAUAAUGGCCCUACAAUCCUACAACGGCCCCAUAAUGGCCCUAUAAUGGCCCUACAGAGGCCUCGGGACAGCCCUAUAGUGGCCCUAUAAUGGCCCUACAAUCCUACAACGGCCCCACGAUGGCCCUAUAAUGGCCCUACAAUCCUACAACGGCCCCAUAAUGGCCCUAUAAUGGCCCUACAAUCCUACAACGGCCCCACAAUGGCCCUAUAAUGGCCCUACAAUCCUACAACGGCCCCACAAUGGCCCUAUAAUGGCCCUACAAUCCUACAACGGCCCCACGAUGGCCCUAUAAUGGCCCUACAAUCCUACAACGGCCCCAUAAUGGCCCUAUAAUGGCCCUACAAUCCUACAACGGCCCCACAAUGGCCCUAUAAUGGCCCUACAGAGGCCUCAGGACAGCCCUAUAGUGGCCCUAUAAUGGCCCUAUAAUGGCCCUACAAUCCUACAACGGCCCCGCGAUGGCCCUAUAAUGGCCCUACAAUCCUACAACGGCCCCACAAUGGCCCUAUAAUGGCCCUACAAUCCUACAACGGCCCCACAAUGGCCCUAUAAUGGCCCUACAAUCCUACAACGGCCCCACAAUGGCCCUAUAAUGGCCCUACAGUGGCCCCAGGGUGGCCCUAUAAUGACCCUAUAAUGGCCCUACAAUGGCCCCACGAUGGCCCUAUAGUGGCCCUACAAUGGCCCCAGGGUGGCCCUAUAAUGGCCCUACAAUGGCCCCAGGAUGGCCCUAUAGUGGCCCUACAAUGGCCCCAUCUGCCCCAUAAGGUCUCCAUAUCUGUCCCAUAAUGUCCCCAUAAUGUCCCCAUAACCCCACACAGAUGUCCCCGUGGUGUCCCCAUAAUGUCCCCAUAAUGACCCCAUAAUGUCCCCAUGAUGUCCCCACUGUCCCCACCCUGGGAUGUCCCCAAUGUCCCCAACUUCCCAAUGUCCCCAUUGUCCCCAAUGAUGUCCCCAUAACCCCAAUGUCCCCAGUGAUGUCCCCAAUACCCCCUUUGACCCCAAUGUCCCCAAUGUCCCCCAUUACUCUCAGUGUCCCCAAUGUCUCCAAUGUCCCCAACGACCCCAUACGCCAAAUGAGGUCUCCAAUGUCCCCUUUGACCCCAUUGCCCCCAUAUCCCCAAUGAUGUCCCCAGUGUCCCCAAUGUCCCCGAUGUCCCCAUAUCCCCAUAACCCCAAUGUCCCCAAUGAUGUCCCCAAUACCCCCUUUGACCCCAUUGUCCCCAAUAUCCCCAUAUCCCCAAUGAUGUCCCCACUGUCCCCACUGUCCCCAUAUCCCCAUAUCCCCAAUUAUGUUCCCAAUGUCCCCAUAACCCCAAUGUCCCCAAUGUCCCCGAUGUCCCCCAUGACCCCAUAUCCCCAAUAACCCCAUUGCCCCCAAUGAUGUCCCCAAUGUCCCCAAUAACCCCAUUGCCCCCAAUGUCCCCAAUGUCCCCAAUAUCCCCCAUUGCCCCCAAUGUCCCCAAUGUCCCCAAUGUCCCCCUAUCCCCAAUGAUGUCCCCAAUGUCCCCAAUAACCCCAUUGCCCCCAAUGAUGUCCCCAAUAUCCCCCACUGCCCCCAAUGUCCCCAAUGUCCCCAAUGUCCCCAAUAUCCCCCACUGCCCCCAAUGUCCCCAAUGUCCCCAAUGUCCCCAAUAUCCCCCACUGCCCCCAAUGUCCCCAAUGUCCCCAAUAUCCCCCAUUGCCCCCAAGGUCCCCAAUGUCCCCCAUGUCCCCCUAUCCCCAAUGAUGUCCCCAAUGUCCCCACUGUCCCCAAUACCCCCCAUUGCCCCCAAUGUCCCCAACGUCCCCUUUGACCCCAAUAUCCCCCAUUGCCCCCAACGUCCCCAUAUCCCCCCGUCCCC
ensembl:lncRNA